rnacentral:rRNA from 1 species
CAGCCGCCGCGGUAAUACGAAGGGUGCAAGCGUUAAUCGGAAUUACUGGGCGUAAAGCGUGCGUAGGCGGUGAGUUAAGUCUGCUGUGAAAUCCCCGGGCUCAACCUGGGGAUGGCAGUGGAUACUGGCUCGCUAGAGUGUGUCAGAGGAUGGUGGAAUUCCCGGUGUAGCGGUGAAAUGCGUAGAGAUCGGGAGGAACAUCAGUGGCGAAGGCGGCCAUCUGGGACAACACUGACGCUGAGGCACGAAAGCGUGGGGAGCAAACAGGAUUAGAUACCCCCGUAGUCCCUGUCUCUUAUAC